rnacentral:rRNA from 1 species
AUUGAACGCUGCGGCAGGCCUAACACAUGCAAGUCGAACGGUAACAGGAAGAAGCUUGCUUCUUUGCUGACGAGUGGCGGACGGGUGAGUAAUGUCUGGGAAACUGCCUGAUGGAGGGGGAUAACUACUGGAAACGGUAGCUAAUACCGCAUAAUGUCGCAAGACCAAAGAGGGGGACCUUCGGGCCUCUUGCCAUCGGAUGUGCCCAGAUGGGAUUAGCUAGUAGGUGGGGUAACGGCUCACCUAGGCGACGAUCCCUAGCUGGUCUGAGAGGAUGACCAGCCACACUGGAACUGAGACACGGUCCAGACUCCUACGGGAGGCAGCAGUGGGGAAUAUUGCACAAUGGGCGCAAGCCUGAUGCAGCUAUGCCGCGUGUAUGAAGAAGGCCUUCGGGUUGUAAAGUACUUUCAGCGGGGAGGAGGGGAGUAAAGUUAAUACCUUUGCUCAUUGACGUUACCCGCAGAAGAAGCACCGGCUAACUCCGUG